AGCAGCCUUCCAAAGCACUGCACCCUCUGUGUAGGCAGUGACUCCUCGCGUAUCUGCAGUGAUUCUGUAGCUUAUAGCACAGCAGAUCUGAAACACAGCGGGCUGAGACCUUGAAUUACAGUGUUAAGAGGAAUGCAAAGUUCCUUUGGCUGUUCCCCAUCCACACCAGCCCUGCAGUCCCAGUUAAAGCUGUCACCUCCUAUUGCAGCAUGCUGUUGUUCAGCAGCCACAACACCUGAGAGAGGACUACGAGAGUAUAACACCAGACGUGUGGUUUCGGCUUCAGUCGGUAGAGGGAGUACAGACACCUGUGUGCAGCGCCACGCGUGACAGCUGAGAGAGCAGGCUCUGCCCUGAGCCCUCUUCUGUCUGCAAGAAACUUAUCUCCCUUAAGUGAACAUUUUCCUGCAGGCUAAAAGGCAGCGGUGGGCUACUAACGCUGUGAUCUGUGUGCAGUCUGCUUAAAGGUUAAGCCAUGAGCUGUUGCAAAAGCAGAAGAGGGAGGAAGUGUCUGUUAAAGCUUCAGUGUGUGGUAGCGUUGGAUAGUUAGAAUAGAAACAGGCAGUCUGGGUUCACCCACUCUUGACAAGGAGCCACUCGGUCUGUGUUUUUGACAUAACACUUGAUCUUGUAGCUUUGGUUGUCCCAUGAUAAAGGCAAUGCUUGCUGCCAUUUGAUUAAUGUCUGUCAGAAACUUUGAAAGAACUUUGCAAAGGAGUUAAUGCAAAGUGGAGUGGUUUUUACUUUAAGCUACAGUAUUGCUUGACUUUUGCUUAGACAUGAUGCAGCUGUAAUGCAGCAUGGAUACUCUGUUCAGCAUCCAGCAUCUGUAUUUCUUUUAUGUUGUUUCCCUGUAUCAACAAUCUGGCAAUAUUCUCCACUGGCUGCCCCUAACUGGCACUGCAUGAUGUUAGGCAAUCCUGUUCAGUUGUGUAUUGUCUAUUAAAUGCUGAGCAAAACU
rnacentral:lncRNA from 7 species